rnacentral:rRNA from 1 species
CAGCCGCCGCGGUAAUACGUAGGGUGCAAGCGUUAAUCGGAAUUACUGGGCGUAAAGCGUGCGCAGGCGGUUAUAUAAGACAGAUGUGAAAUCCCCGGGCUCAGCCUGGGAACUGCAUUUGUGACUGUAUAGCUAGAGUACGGCAGAGGGGGAUGGAAUUCCGCGUGUAGCAGUGAAAUGCGUAGAUAUGCGGAGGAACACCGAUGGCGAAGGCAAUCCCCUGGGCCUGUACUGACGCUCAUGCACGAAAGCGUGGGGAGCAAACAGGAUUAGAUACCCGCGUAGUCCCUGUCUCUUAUAC